UACGAAGGGGGCUAGCGUUGCUCGGAAUCACUGGGCGUAAAGGGUGCGUAGGCGGGUCUUUUAAGUCAGGGGUGAAAUCCUGGAGCUCAACUCCAGAACUGCCUUUUGAUACUGAAGAUCUUGAGUUCGGGAGAGGUGAGUGGAACUGCGAGUGUAGAGGUGAAAUUCGUAGAUAUUCGCAAGAACACCAGUGGCGAAGGCGGCUCACUGGCCCGAUACUGACGCUGAGGCACGAAAAGCGUGGGGGAGCAA
rnacentral:rRNA from 1 species